CUCCUGAAGGAACGUUAAAGACGAUGACGUUGAUAGGCCGGGUGUGUAAGCGCAGCGAUGCGUUGAGCUAACCGGUACUAAUGAACCGUGAGGCUUAACCUUACAACGCCGAAGGUGUUU
rnacentral:rRNA from 3 species